CGUAAUUCCAAUCAAUUCCUUUUUUUUCUGAACCAGACAAAAUUACUUCAACACGCACACAGAGGCGCUAAUAUUUUGGAACAGCCAAGAAAGAUGCACCAAACAAGGCCAGUGAGGGGCACGCCCUGACCAGUGUGAAAUUCUGCAUAUGUGGGUGUGCUCCUUCCGGGCACAGUUGCAGAAGGCGCUGGAAUACACCUGUAGAGAUGGCAAGCUUCCUGCUCCAAGUCCAUACACGAUGAAAAUGAACUGUAGAAGACCCACUGCUAUGAAUUUAAGGCUCCAGAUUCAGUGUGCUCAUCUCCAGACUGCUCCGUGACAACUAGGCUGUCCCACGACGUGCAGCUGCCACGCGAGGUGAGGAGCGUUGCAAACACUCAGGCAGAGGCGGUGGAUGAGUGUGAGGGCGCACGCAGCAGAG